rnacentral:rRNA from 1 species
AGGAGGUUUUCUGCAUUAUCAUUUAAUAGAAUUCUCUCAAAUGGAGAAAUGUUUGACAGAGAGUGGCUUGUAUACAGUAGCGACCUUGAACAAGUAUUUUGUUUUUGUUGCAAAUUGUUAAAAAGGGGGCUUGUGAGAGGCCAGCUAGCAAAUGAUGGUUUAAGUGACUGGAUUCAUCUUGGGGCUAGACUUAAAGAGCAUGAAUCAAGUAGAGAGCAUAUCACAAAUAUAAAUGCAUGGUAUGACUACCGUCUCAGGUUCCAGAAGAAUUAAACAAUUGAUAAAGUUGCUCAGCGAGAACUUGAAAUAGAAAAGGAACAUUGGAGAAAAGUUUUGCUCAGGAUUUUUUUGAUAGUAAAAUUCCUUGGAGGACGUAAUAUAACAUUUCGUGGCAUUAAUAGCAAGUUGUACCAAGAGAGCAAUGGGAAUUUUCUAGGAUUGGUUGAAAUGUUGGCUGAAUUCGAACCAGUUAUCAAAGAGCAUGUUGACUGCAUCACCAAUGAUAAAAUUCGUGAUCACUACCUUGGCCCUUCAACCCAUAAUGAGUUAAUAGUGCUCGCUACUGCCAUCAGGUGUAGAAUCAUUGAAAAGGUAAAGGAAGCAAAAUAUUUCUCAGUUAUUCUUGAUUGUACUCCCGAUGCAAGCCAUCAAGAACAGAUGUCUUUAAUAAUUAGGUAUGUUGAAACAUAUUCUGCUUCUGUUUGCAUCGAAGAAUCUUUAUUAGGAUUUUUGGAAGUGAAUGAUACCACUUGGCAAGGUCUAUGUAAUGUUCUUGAAGAGGAGUUGAAGAAUCUUGGUCUUGAUAUGGACAAUGUGAGAGGACAGGGUUAUGAUAAUGGGUCAAAUAUGAAAGGAAACAAUAAGAGGGUAAAAAAGAAUUUUUUGGAGAAAAAUCCAAGGGCAUUUUACUCAGCUUGUGGUUGUCAUAGUCUAAAUCUAGCACUAUGUUAUAUGGCGAAGUCUUGUCGUAAAGCAACAGAUCUUUUUGGAGUCAUACAACGCAUCUAUACAAUAUUUGCUAAUUCUACUAAACGAUGGCAAAUUCUCAAAGAUAACUUGAAGAAGUUGACUGUCAAGUCAUUGUCAUCUACUCGUUGGGAGAGUCAUGUUGAGAGUGUUAAGGCUAUAAGGAUUCAAAUGCCAGAAAUAAGGGAGGCUUUACUACAAGUGGCUGAAAUUGAUAAUGACCCAUUGACAAGUAGUGAAGCUCAAUCAUUGGCAGAAAAUGAACUUGGUGGUUUUGAAUUUUUAGUGUCAAUAAUUAUCUCUUAUGAGAUAUUAUCCGCUGUUAAUUUGAUCAGCAAGCAGCUACAAUCAAAGGACAUGCUUAUUGAUAUUGCAAUUGAGUCUAUGCAAGGCCUGCUUUCAUUUUUCAGUAAGUAUAGAGAUACUGGAUUUUCAAAAGCACUAGAAGUUGCAAAAGAAAUUGCACUUGAGAUGGAUAUUCAUCCAAUGUUCCGCACCAAGCGUAAAAUCAAAAGAAGAAGACAAUUUGAUGAGGGUGUAGAUGACACAUCUAUUGUUUCACAAUCUGUGGAGGAGUCAUUUAGGGUCAAUUAUUUUCUCCAAGUAGUUGAUCAAGCUAUAGUUUCACUUACCAGGAGGUUUGAGCAAUAUCAGGGGUAUGCAAAAACUUUUGGUUUCUUAUUUACUUCAGAUAGGCUGCGAUCUUUGGAUGAUAAGAGUUUGUUGGUUGGUUGUGUUAAUCUUGAGAAAGCGCUUAAGAGUGGAGAACAGAAAGACAUUGAUGGACUAGAACUGUUUUGCGAGUUAGUUUUCAUCCAGGAUUUAGUUCAGAAAUCUAUGGGCCAUGUUGAUAUUCUUCAGGUUUUGAUGAAGCACCCCUUCUAUCCUAAUGCUAUUAUUGCAUACAGGAUUUUGUUAACCAUUCCUAUAACUGUUGCAUCUGUGGAAAGGAGCUUUUCUAAACUCAAAAAAAAGAAAUCCUACUUGCGUUCUACUAUGACACAAAAAAGACUGAAUGGUUUGGCAACAAUAACACUUGAAAAUAAUGUAUUGGAGAAGAUUAAUUAUGAAGAUAUAAUUGAAGAUUUUAUUUCAAGGGACACAAGACAGAUGACACUUUUCAAUAGAGCAUGA